GGGGAGCCGGACCGGGCGGGGCCAGGGCCGUCUUGCUGGCCCCGAAUAAAUGUGUGCUGUUCGGGGCUAGGAAAGUAAUAUGCUGUGAAAACCUAAGACAGCCCAGAAAACGCCCUUUUCCUUCGGGAGAAGGGGAAGGCCGGGGAGAAGCCAAAGGGGCGGAGCGAGGGCAGCCCCGGUGGAGACCGGAGAAGGCGGGAGGAGGUCGCCCCCUGGCGGAGAGUUUGAAGGGGCUAGAGGGAGCUGGCCGCCCUGGGGCCUAGAUAUGAGGAAGAUCAGUGUGAAGACCCAGGUAUCCUCAAGCGGUUCGUUGCUUCUUACCAGAUCUCUUCUUUACCCUCUUCGUGCUGUCGGCAUCAGCUGCUUUCACCUUUCUAGGUGUACUACCUGAAGAAACUUUUGCGCAAGUGUGCCAAGAAGCAAGUUCCGUGGUGUUCAUCGCAGGCCUACUUAGGAAUAGAAGACAGAACUAACCCAAGUGUCCGCGGCACAUACACGCGUGAGUUGUAAUCAAACCAUAGUGCUGAAUUUAAAAAUGAAGAGAAAGUUGGUGACUCGAACAAUCAAAUUGAGUUUGCUCUUAUAUGAGGGCAAUAUAUGAAGAGUUUAGUGAUUUGGGCUCAAAUUAAAAACAUCGGUGUGAAGACGUUGCAUGGAUAAAUCUCACAAACAUCAUCUUGAAAGAAAUAAGCACAUCACAGAGCAAGUGCCAUGGAGGUUAA